UCAAAAAUAGCGUGAUCAGCCCCAACAUUGCCUCCUGGCAUGACUCCUGUACCACCAGCAAUACCUGCAGCAGUAUUUGCAACAAGAUUGCCAUAAAGAUUAGGUGUCACCAUGACAUCAAACUGCUCCGGCUUUGAAACAAGUUGCAUGCAGCAGUUGUCCACAAUAAUUUCAUUGUAUUUGAUUCCAGGAUAUUUUUUAGCGACCUCCCGACAAGACUCCAAAAACAAACCAUCUGCAAGCUUCAUGAUGUUUGCUUUGUGCACAGCAGUCACCUUCUUCCUGUUGUUCAGGUACGCAUACUCAAAAGCGUAUUUUGCAAUGCGCUCGGAGCAGAACUUUGUAAUCACCUUGAGGCUUUCAACUACUCCAGGAACGACCUCAUGCUCGAGGCCAGAGUACUCUCCCUCAGUAUUCUCUCUAAUCACAAC
rnacentral:misc_RNA from 1 species